CCUACGGGAGGCUGCAGUGAGGAAUAUUGGUCAAUGGGCGCGAGCCUGAACCAGCAAAGUCGCGUGAGGGAUGAAGGUUCUAUGGAUCGUAAACCUCUUUUAUAGGGGAAUAAAGUGCGGUACGUGUCCUAUUUUGUAUGUACCUUAUGAAUAAGGAUCGGCUAACUCCGUGCCAGCAGCCGCGGUAAUACGGAGGAUCCGAGCGUUAUCCGGAUUUAUUGGGUUUAAAGGGUGCGUAGGCGGCCUGUUAAGUCAGCGGUGAAAGGCUGUGGCUCAACCAUAGAAUUGCCGUUGAAACUGGGGGGCUGGAGUAUGGUUGAGGCAGGCGGAAUGCGUGGUGUAGCGGUGAAAUGCUUAGAUAUCACGCAGAACCCCGAUUGCGAAGGCAGCCUGCCAGGCCAUGACUGACGCUGAUGCACGAAAGCGUGGGGAUCAAACAGGAUUAGAUACCCUAGUAGUC
rnacentral:rRNA from 1 species